GGUUCCCUCCCGGUUCUAGCCUCAAAAGCACCUUCACACGUGUGUACACGUCACGCGUGCGACACACACCACUCCCACACGUGUGUACGUGUGACACAUGCCACACACACUCCCACAUGUGCCACACACACUCCUACACGUGCCAUACGCACAUGCACGCGUGCACCAGUACACACUCCCACACGUGCGACACACUCCCAUACGUGCCAUAUGUGCGUGCCAUACGCACAUGCAUGCAUGCACCAAUACACACUCCCACACGUGCCACACACUCCCACACGUGCCAUAUGUGCGACACGCACAUGCACGCGUACACACUCCCACAUGCGCCACACACACUCCCACACAUGCCAUAUGUGCG
rnacentral:lncRNA from 1 species